GGCGGAGCGUCUGUGGUCCUCCUGGAACCUUACAUCCCGGGCAGUUUUGCAGAACACUGAUAUCUAUGGACGCUAACAUGGACUUCAUUUAAAGAAAUCCACGGACCAUAAAUGGACAAAAACAUGAAUCAGUUUAUGUUGUGGCAUUCAAAUCCUAGCACUUUGGGAAAGCAUCAAGUACAAGUUUUUGAAGACCCUGGGGCCUACCAUCAUUAUGCAUUCAAGAUUUGAGUUUGAAUAACUUCUUCAAGACUUAGAUCCUCUUCAAAAGCCUCAAGUCUCAUCUGCAUUAAAGCUCUCCAUUGAACCCUCUCACAAAAGUAAAAGCUUACAGGGACUAAAAUCCACUAAUACAUUCCAUUUUAUAUCCUUUCCUCUGAUUUCUCUUCAAUUUCUUUGGCCUUUAGAGUCUUUCAUAUUGCUUAUGUUUCUUUAGAUUGGAGCCAAGGAAACAGUGCCUUGCAAAAGAAUAGAUGUCCCGUGGCCCUAAGUUUUCAUCGGUAGAGAAGCAUAAACUUGGUAUAAGUUUACAAUCAGGUCUUUUGUUGUAUCCUACAAAAACUUGAAUCAACAAUAAGAAAUGAGAAUGAAGUGGUAAAAAUAUUUGAGGUCAGAUUAU